CGAAAUGGGCUAAGAACCCACAACCAUUGCUUUCAAGCAUUAAAUGGCUUGUCUAGUAUUUUUAAGGUUAGAAUAUGUUAGAAUACAAUAAUUUUGAUUGAUUAAAAGUGCUAGAUAUUUAUUUAGAGUGUUUAGAUGUAUGGAGAAAGACUUGUUGAAAUUGGGUCCCAAAUGGGCUAAGAACUCGGAAACAUGGCGUUGAACCAAUAAAUGGCUUUUAUAGUGUUUUUGGGGUAAUAAUAUGUUAUAAUAAAAUCAAUUUGAUUGAUUACAAGUGCUAGAGAUGCAUGAAGA
rnacentral:lncRNA from 1 species